CGUGCAAGUCGUCUUGUCGUCCCGAUAGCUAUCGGGAAGGAAAGUCCGGGCAACAUAGAGCGCCAUACUUCCUAACGGGAAGGGGGCUGACUGGUGACGGUCAGUUUACAGCUAGUGCAACAGAGAAUAUACCGUCCCGAUAGCUAUCGGGAUAAGGGUGAAAAGGUGGGGUAAGAGCCCACCGCUUCGAUGGUGACAUCGGGGGCAUGGCAAACCUUAUGGGUUGAAAGAUCAAAUAGGUUCCGCGCCGGAUUCAGUUCCGGGAAAAGUUGCUCGCUUUUAUGCGGAAUGGGUAGAUCGAUGGACCCCGAUUGCGAAGUCGGGGCUAGAUAAAUGGCAAGAAACUGACUCUGAAAAUAGAGGAGGAAACAGAACCCGGCUUAUAGACUUGCACUUUUU
rnacentral:RNase_P_RNA from 1 species